AUGUAAUCCUCCAAUGUACUGACAAAAAGGUUCAAUCCAGUUUAAGCAAGGUUAGAAAUGUUUGUUUACACAAUUGGUUUCAGCCGUGCGCUAGUAGUCUUAGUAUGGCCAAACAUACGAAAAAAGUUAGAAUGCAAGAUUCGAACUCGGGAUUUCAAGAACUCCGAACGGGACAAAGAAUCUUAUGGAACGGAAUGGAAUCAUUUCUCGGUCAUUUGAGAAACCGUCCUACAAUCUGAUUGGUUAAAAGGACCACACCAUGAAAAAACCCAUGUGAUUUUUGCGAAUCAGAAAUCGGUGAGAGAUGGGAGUUGAACGCUUGUACAUAAUUACGUGACAGUGGCAAAAUCUAGGCUCUCCCAAAAUUUUUGAUCACAGUUAAUGUUCCGCAAAUUUUUAGAACGUUGAGUCGCGCUAUUCCAUUUGAAAACCGUUUAACAAAACAAAUUAAAUGUUCUUUAUUUCUAAGGAACGCAGUUUGAAGAUAUACGAACACUAAAUUCGUAAGUUGUCAUACUGCAUAACGACAGUAAAACGUUAUUAAAGGUUGAGUGGAUGCUAAAACAGAAGGUGAGAUGUAGAUAAAGAUCAAAAAGCAGUUAAACAAUGCAUUUGUUAAGGUUAUAAACAUAAGAAUAGAUUUUAAAAGAUCCAUAGUUUAAAUAAAAUGAAAGACCAUUGCUUAAAAUGAAAGAAGGACGUUUGUUAUUGACUUUUUUAUGACUUUACAUGGUUUGACUCGUAGAAAAUCCAAACUUUAGAUAGAAAGCGAUUC